UAUUCUCCAACUCUUUCCAAUUUCGUAGUCUUGGCCACUAGUUAGCAACUCUAACACCUACAUAAAACCGAAAAGAAGAGAACACAAAUAAGAAAACUGAAGUGUGUGAUCUUCUUGAGACAUAUAUAAAUCUUAAGGUAUGUUUGGUUCGAGAAUUUUUUUUUAUUUUUAAUUUUAAAAAAAAUGUUUUCGCAAACCAAACAGAUCGAUUAAACAUUAACGAUAUAAAGGUUGUUAUUUGUUAGUUCACCUCGGUCAUUGUAGGACGCCAAAUGGCAGUUUGUCUGACACAGUAUGAAGCAGUUAGGAUUACCCUAUACAGUUGCUCUGCAUCAUAUCUACCUUCCAUUCUUGGAUCAGCCAGCUCACCAAUAUUCCCUGAUUCCAUCAGAGGCUUUGCCUGUAUCAUGUUAAAAUGUGUUUGUUAAUUAACAGAGACUAAAAUGACGGGCUAUAUGAAAAUCGGUCAUUUUAGUCGGAGACUAAAAUGACGGAUUUUGUAUACUUGGAGACUAAGUUGAUGAUUUAUUUAAUGAAAAGUGUAUUUACCCAUAGGAGAAUAUUUUGCUUUGAUGAAUCAACAGGUUUGCGUCCGGUUACAAUCUCGAGAAGAAGAACACCAAAUGCAUAAAUAUCAGUUUUCUCAUCCACAAUACCAUGCAUAAAGACUUCUGGUGCUAGAUAUCCAAAUGUUCCCUCCACUGGGAUUACAGCAUGAUGAGUCCACUU
rnacentral:lncRNA from 1 species